rnacentral:misc_RNA from 1 species
AAUCAUCAUUUACCUUACCUUCCUGCUCUCAAAUAAUGAAUAAGAGUUUCAGUUAAGUUGUAUCACUUACGGAUUGUUACACUCUGUACAUGUGUUUAUUGUCUCAAUAUAAGCACAAGACUGAUCAUCAACCCUAUCAAUAAAGUGCCGUUUGGUGCUUUGGGCGCAUAGAGAAUUCGGUGAAUCAAGAACUUGUUAGUGGAAAAAAGAAAUUACUUGCAUUUUUAAGGAUUAUUGUUUGAU